AUGUAAAAAGAGAACAAAGCAAAAGCACUUUUCCUUAAACGUUUUUCCAGUAAAAUUGGUUCUGCAUUAUCUUUGUAACAGGGAGCUCAAAAAAUCAAAUUUUCCUUAUCUAAAUUACAUUUUGUUGCUAAAGCAAAAAAAGAAAAAAGAUUUGAGUCUGUCAGAGACUUAUGUUCCUGUCUCCUUAGAAAUCAAGGACACAGUAGUACGAGCCUAUAGAACAGAUCCUGUUCAAGUAAGGUCGUGCUUUUAAGUGCUCUGAUUUGGUUAUAUAAAUGUUUAUGUUUUACUUCACUUAACCGGUGAGGGAGUAAUAUAAUGCCUUUUGUUGUAACUCUCAGUUUGUUUAUAUUGGAAAAAAGAUGCUUCUGAUAAGUCUAUUAAUGUUUCCAGAUUUUGUUACCAUUUCAACAAGGGACCAUAUUUUCAUGAUUGGUUGAAAAGCCUUAACAGUACUUGGAGUUCAAGGACAUAUUCUCGCCGAAUGAUUUUUCGCUGAUGGAGUUGUUCAAGCUUGGUCAGCAACACUUGGCUGUAAUGUGGAUGAGAAGAUUUCAGAGGAAGAUAUUGAGUUGUCUCCUUCCCACAAAAGCUGUUGCUUUUUAUACUCUGUGAAAUCUGAUGUUUGCAGGUAGCUCAGUUUGUAUACUCUAUUUGCGUAAACAUUCUGGUGGGGGGGUUGAUUAUAUAUUUCUUUGAUCACCUUGUUGUGCAAUGAAGAGUACUUUCUUCUUUCAUUGGUGUUUUUGAAUGAAAUAUGUAAAGCCUGACUAUUUUGUAUGCUAUAGUCAUGUUAGAUUUUGAUCGAGAAAAUGGUAUGGUUUGUAAAGAUGGAACAGCUCGAUUGCUUAUUACAUUACGUCUUCCAAACGUAUAGUUAAAAUUUUAGAAUUCA